rnacentral:rRNA from 1 species
UACGGAGGGAGCUAGCGUUGUUCGGAAUUACUGGGCGUAAAGCGCACGUAGGCGGCUUUGUAAGUUAGAGGUGAAAGCCCGGAGCUCAACUCCGGAACUGCCUUUAAGACUGCAUCGCUUGAAUCCAGGAGAGGUGAGUGGAAUUCCGAGUGUAGAGGUGAAAUUCGUAGAUAUUGGGAAGAACACCUGUGGCGAAGGCGGCUUUCUGGGCCUUACCUGACGCUGAGACGCGAAAGCGUGGGGAGCGGACCGG